AUUAAUUCGAGGUCUCGUACCUGAAGAUGUCUUUUCUUUUGAGGAAGUGCCUCAGGUCUUAGCCUAGAGUAAGAUGAACUCAUACUUCCACUGAAAACAAGUUGAAAUUGUAAAGAUUUGGUGUUUGAUUCAAGGGUGGGAGGAGAAAUUUGAGAAGAGGUAAAAUGCUUAGGAAAGAAGGGUCUACUUAGUGAAAGGGGAUAGAUUAUAUAUAGAUAUAACAGCUCAUUUUACUUUUUAUGAUUGACUGGUCGAUGAUAUCAAGAAGAGAGUAAUUUGAGACGUAGCAUGACAAACAUUUAUUGGGAUUGUUAAAGAAAAACUUUUAUUAAUACGUGGCAAAUAUUCGUUUAACCAGUAACGUCAGCAUGACCAUGCAUAGAUUUCAAUAAAUUCUUAUGGAUAUGGACAAAAAAGUUGCAUGUCUUUCUUCUUUUCCAUGAUGCAUUUGAUUUUCUUUCCUUUCAAAAAAUAAGAAAAGUAUUUACAACGCAACAAAUUUAUUAAUUUUCAUUUCUUUCAAAAAAUAAGAAAAGUAUUUACAACGCAUCAAGUUUAUUAUUAUUAUUUUUUGGGUCAACAGUUUAUUAUCUUUCUAUAACAACAAUACACGUGA
rnacentral:lncRNA from 1 species